rnacentral:lncRNA from 1 species
CCUUUGUCAUCUGAUUAGUCUUUAAAGAUGCAGCACUCUCUUUCCACCUCAUAAGGCCCUCAGUUCCUGAGAACUCAUCUUGAUCUCAUUCAGGAGAAAAGUAAAUCCCUCAAGAUCUUCCUUAUGAUGCUUACAGUCCAUGCUGCUCUUCCCAUGUGAAGAACUGACGUCAGUCAAAUUUGGCCCAAUCAAGAAAUCAAAGAAUAACAAAAGAAUUGCAAUGCAUUAAUAAAGACCUAGAUCCAUCCAGACUUUAAGAUCCUCUUCCAAAAGUCCAGUGGGAUACCUGAUUCAUCAUCCUGUCUUUCACCAGCCAAGGAAUGCAGAGCGUCCUGGUCAAGAGGCAAAGCUGGUCAGACAAGCUUCCGCCAGACCAAGAUGUCAGCAAUGACUCCAGCGUUCUAAAAAUCCAGAAGAUCACUACAAACAAAUGAAAAACUAAAAGUCUGGUAGAACAGAGGCCAUGACUGGGUGAGCCGCACUGUCUCGCUUCCAAAAAUUUACUCUUCAUGAAAAAUGAAAAUCAUCGUUUCUCAAAAGCAACGUAACUACGUGUAUUAGUCCGUUCUCACACUGCAAUAAAGAACUACCUGGGACCCAGUAAUUUAUGAAGAAGAGGGUUUUAAUUGACUCACAGUUCUGCAGGCUUAACAGGAAGCAUGACUUGGAGGCCUCGGGAAACUUACAAUCAUGGCAGAAGGUGAAGGGGAAACAAGCACUUCUUACCACGGCAGAGCAGGAGAGAGAGAGAGAGAGUGAGGGGGGAAUACACUUUUAAACCAUCAGAUCCCAUGAGAACUCCUUCACUAUCAAGAGAUCAGCAUGGGGAAAUCGGUCCCUAUCAUCCAAUCACCUCCCAUCAUGCCCCUCUUUCAAUAUGUGGGGAUUACAAUUCCACAUGAGAUGUGGAUUGGGGCCAGGAGCCAAACCAUAUCACUACAGAACCUUUGUCUUCUCUCCUACAAGUCUUUAGAGUAGUCCUGGCUUUGAGAGAAUGAGACAGACACAAAGUUGGCUUAAUAUGUUUUUAAAUGGGAUUCUUUUUUAAGAAGAUGAAAUCUCCCAAGUGCUAUAGUAAUGAAUCAUCAUCUAAUGUCUAUAUUUACUGGAAGAGUUACCAUGUCAGCCAA